rnacentral:rRNA from 1 species
AACGAACGCUGGCGGCAGGCUUAACACAUGCAAGUCGAACGCCCCGCAAGGGGAGUGGCAGACGGGUGAGUAACGCGUGGGAAUCUACCCAGUUCUGCGGAACAACAGUUGGAAACGACUGCUAAUACCGCAUACGCCCUACGGGGGAAAGAUUUAUCGGAAUUGGAUGAGCCCGCGUAAGAUUAGCUAGUUGGUGAGGUAAUGGCUCACCAAGGCGACGAUCUUUAGCUGGUCUGAGAGGAUGAUCAGCCACACUGGGACUGAGACACGGCCCAGACUCCUACGGGAGGCAGCAGUGGGGAAUAUUGGACAAUGGGCGCAAGCCUGAUCCAGCCAUGCCGCGUGAGUGAUGAAGGCCUUAGGGUUGUAAAGCUCUUUCAGUAGGGAAGAUAAUGACGGUACCUACAGAAGAAGCCCCGGCUAACUUCGUGCCAGCCGCCGCAUAACAC